rnacentral:rRNA from 1 species
UACGUAGGCAGCGAGCGUUGUUCGGAGUUACUGGGCGUAAAGAGUGCGUAGGCGGUUUUCUAAGUUUGGUGUGAAAUCUCCCAGCUCAACUGGGAGGGUGCGCCGAAGACUGGAAGGCUUGAGUAUGGGAGAGGUAAGCGGAAUUCCUGGUGUAGCGGUGAAAUGCGUAGAUAUCAGGAGGAACACCUGCGGUGUAGACGGCUUACUGGACCAUAACUGACGCUGAGGCACGAAAGCGUGGGUAGCAAACAGG